rnacentral:rRNA from 1 species
AGAGUUUGAUCAUGGCUCAGAAUCAACGCUGGCGGCGUGCCUAACACAUGCAAGUCGAACGCGAAAGUCCCGCAAGGGAUUAGUAGAGUGGCAAACGGGUGAGUAACACGUGGGUGACCUGCCUUCGAGUGGGGGAUAACGUCCCGAAAGGGACGCUAAUACCGCAUGACAUCCUGCCUUUGAAGAGGUGGAGCUUAAAGCCGGGGAUCGCAAGACCUGGCGCUUGAAGAGGGGCCCGCGCCUGAUUAGCUAGUUGGUGAGGUAACGGCUCACCAAGGCAUCGAUCAGUAUCCGGCCUGAGAGGGCGGACGGACACACUGGGACUGAGACACGGCCCAGACUCCUACGGGAGGCAGCAGUGGGGAAUUGUUCGCAAUGGGCGCAAGCCUGACGACGCAACGCCGCGUGGAGGAUGAAGAUCUUCGGGUCGUAAACUCCUUUCGAUCGAGACGAACGGCUUCCGGGUGAACAAUCCGGGAGAGUGACGGUACCGAGAGAAGAAGCCCCGGCUAACUCCGUGCCAGCAGCCGCGGUAAUAUGGGGGGGGCAAGCGUUGUUCGGAAUUACUGGGCGUAAAGGGCUCGUAGGCGGCCAACUAAGUCAUACGUGAAAUCCCUCGGCUUAACCGGGGAACUGCGUCUGAUACUGGAUGGCUUGAGAUUGGGAGAGGGAUGCGGAAUUCCAGGUGUAGCGGUGAAAUGCGUAGAUAUCUGGAGGAACACCGGUGGCGAAGGCGGCAUCCUGGACCAACACUGACGCUGAGGAGCGAAAGCCAGGGGAGCAAACGGGAUUAGAUACCCUAGUAGUCC